GGGAGAAAGGGCCGGCGCCGGCCCCGGCGGCGCCGCCGCCGCCCGAGCCGGCUCGAUCGAGAGUCGGCAAAUCUGGCGGCGGGGGAAAAGCCGCGGCGCUCCUCGCCAAGGCCAAACAGGGCGAGGCGAACAAACGGAACGAAGCGGUGCGUGCGCACGACGCGCGAUUCCCCCCCGGCUCGUUUUCGCACCCCAACCUCUCCCCGUGUUUUCUCUCCCCGUGUUUUCUCUCCCCGUGUUUUUCCGCGUCUUCAUCCCCGACUUGUUUUCUCCCCAAAACUCACGACGACGCGUCUCGACUGAUUUCUCCAGGCCCUCGCCGCAGAGCGAAGAGAGGCGUGCCUCCGGGCAGCGCAGGCGCGGACAGCGGCGGUCACGGGGGCGACGCACGGGGGAUCGUUCGCCGGAGGCGGCGGGUCCAUCGCUGGUGGCGCGGGCGGCGGCGGCGGCGCGGAGGAUUGACCCG
rnacentral:lncRNA from 1 species